rnacentral:rRNA from 1 species
CAGUAGCCGCGGUAAUACGAAGGGUGCAAGCGUUAAUCGGAAUUACUGGGCGUAAAGCGCGCGUAGGUGGUUCAUUAAGUUGGAUGUGAAAGCCCUGGGCUCAACCUGGGAACUGCAUCCAAAACUGGUGAGCUAGAGUACGGUAGAGGGUAGUGGAAUUUCCUGUGUAGCGGUGAAAUGCGUAGAUAUAGGAAGGAACACCAGUGGCGAAGGCGACUACCUGGACUGAUACUGACACUGAGGUGCGAAAGCGUGGGGAGCAAACAGGAUAAGAGACCCCGGUAGUCCCUGUCUCUUAUAC